GUAGAGUGCAGCUGGUGGAAGCAGUUGAGCAGAUACACAGCAGACUCCACUGCACCCAGUCCAGUUGCACUCUCACUUAUCGCAUUCAUCAGAGGAUCCACCACACAACUCACAAUCUGCCAAAGGAUACAAGACAAUGAGCCACAGUGGCGGCAGUAACCACCUCAGUGAGCAGACUCAGGGUGCGUGCCACUCCAGGUGUGGGUGCCAGUGUCUCUCCUGGCGGCUCUAUCCUCUCACUCACUCACAUGGCUCACCUGGUGGCACCAAAAGACAGCUUAGCUGGUGGAGUUCAUCAAGAGUGGCCACCAGCAGUCCUGCAUCAGUCACCUGCAGGGAUGAGAUGAACAUUAAAAGGAAGCAGAAACAUGAGCUGAAUAUCAACUGAAUGCUGAAAAGGAGGCAUGGUGACACAAGUGGUAGAAGAGAACUGAAGGAGAGCAGGAGGUGACUGAGUGAACAACACAGGGAGGAUUAAAUGGUAUACUUAAGAAUGCUUAUUUUAAAGUCUAUCUAUUAUAUCCCCAUUAAAGCAGGGUAGCUGACACACGGCCCCUACAACAUAUAACAUCUUGUCUCAUCCUAGGAAUAAACGAUACAAAGGAGAAGGUACCCAGUGCUCUUACUCCCCCUUUUUAGUAACUUUUUACAAGCAUGCAAGGAAUGACAUGGCAAUAAUAUCAAAUCUAGCUACAGAGUUACACCCAAGCCAUGUUCAUCUUAAAAUAAGGAUAAAAAAACAGGAAUAACUGACCAGCUAAGCC